rnacentral:rRNA from 1 species
UGGUUGAUCCUGCCGGAGGCUACUGAUAUCGGGGUUNGAUUAAGCCAUGAGAGUUAAAUNUUNUUNGUGAACAUAGCGAAGUGGUCAGUAACACGUGGAUAACNUACCNUUAGGACNNNAAUAACCCNNNGAAACUGGGGAUAAUACUGGAUAAGCCAUAGACGUUGGAAUGCCNUAUGGUUCAAAGNUCNGGCGCNUAAGGANGGAUNUGNNNUNUAUCAGGUUGUAGUGGGUGUAACGUACNUACUAGCNGACGANGGAUACGGGUUGUGAGAGCAAGAGCCCGGAGAUGGAUUNUGAGACANGAAUCCAGGCCCUANGGGGUGCAGCAGGCGCGAACACUUUACAAUGCGGGAAACCGCGAUAAGGGAACCCCGAGUGCCAGCAUCAAAUGUUGGCUGCCCAGAUGAUUAAAAAUCAUUUGUUAGCAAGGGCCGGGCAAGACCGGUGCCCGCCGCCGCGGUAACACCGGCGGCCCGAGUGGUAGCCGUUUUUAUUGGGUCUAAAGGGUCUGUAGCCGGCCUGAUAAGUCCUUUGGGAAAUUUGGCAAGUUAACUGUCAGGAUUUUAAGGGAUACUGUCAGGCUUGGGACCGGAAGAGGUAAGGGGUACUCCAGGGGUAGGAGUGAAAUUUUGUAAUCCCUGGGGGACCAUCUGUGGCGAAGGCGCCUUACCAGAACGGGUCCGACGGUGAGGGACGAAAGCUAGGGGAGCAAACCGGAUUAGAUACCCGGGUAGUCCUAGCUGUAAGCGAUGCUCGCUAGGUGUCAGACACGGUGCGACCGUGUUUGGUGCCGCAGGGAAGCCGUUAAGCGAGCCACCUGGGAAGUACGGUCGCAAGGCUGAAACUUAAAGGAAUUGGCGGGGGAGCAC